AACAACUUCUCGGGAAGAGUUUAAGUAUUAUUUUUGAAAAUUGAUAGAGGAUCGUAGAGCAAGGAUCAACGCGUUGGAUUUGUGGAAGAAUAAAGAAAGACAAUAUCCAGUGCUUUCAAGAUUAGCUAAAGAUUUAUUGAAUGUUCCAAUGUCAAUGCAACGGAGAGCGCUUUUAGUCAGGAACAACAACAACUUGGAGAUAAUCGACACUCAU
rnacentral:lncRNA from 1 species